rnacentral:lncRNA from 1 species
AUUCUAAACUUUUCUGCUUCAUCUUUAUUUCUUAAAGUUGAUAAAUAUUUCAUUUUGAUUAUUCCUUUGAACUUGUCUUUGAAGUUGCUGGAACUUUAUUAUAGUUUUUGAAAUAGUGCUUACAAAAUUUAAAAGUUAAAAAAAUAAAAUAAAUCACUUCAACAAGGUUCGAACCAAAGGCACCCUUCUAAUGAAGAACCUUAAGAUCAACCUAAGUACCAAUGCACUCAAUCAACUUUUUGUUAUAGUGGUUGUUCGCAACAAAUUUUUGUUGGUGCUAAAAAUUAACUGCAAGCAAAAAUAAAAUAAAUAAAAAGAAUUAUUUUAUUUAAAUGAAUCUUGUGAGUACAAUUUUGUUGUUCUCUUGAUUCUUCUCUCCUAAACUUAAAAAUUAUUUGAGGGCCUUCAGUAGCGUGUUUCUCGAAUCGUUGGAUGAUUGGACUCCUAGAGACGUAUUUCAAUCCUCGGAAAUGUCGGAAAGUGUUUUGUCGCUUUGGAAUAAUCUUCGAGAAGAACUCCGUUGAUUGCACCUGGCCAGAACUUGAUAGUCAAAGAAGACGUUGUCAAUGCUUGUCAAAGUCCUCUUUUCCCCCAUCUCCCUCCUUUUAAAAUGUUAUGUUACCCCC